UACAGAGGUCUCAAGCGUUGUUCGGAUUCAUUGGGCGUAAAGGGCGCGUAGGCGGCGUGUUAAGUCAGCUGUGAAAUCUCCAAGCUUAACUUGGAACGGUCAGCUGAUACUGAUGUGCUAGAGUGCAGAAGGGGCAAUCGGAAUUCUUGGUGUAGCGGUGAAAUGCGUAGAUAUCAAGAGGAACACCUGAGGUGAAGACGGGUUGCUGGGCUGACACUGACGCUGAGGCGCGAAAGCUAGGGUAGCAAACGGG
rnacentral:rRNA from 1 species